rfam:Salmo salar isolate Sally breed double haploid chromosome ssa19, whole genome shotgun sequence.
UGUAUUCACUACUGUAAGUCGCUCUGGAUAAGAGUGUCUGCUAAAUGACUAAAA